rnacentral:rRNA from 1 species
AGCAGCCGCGGUAAUUCCAGCUCCAAUAGCGUAUAUUAAAGUUGUUGCAGUUAAAAAGCUCGUAGUUGAAUUUCGAGAUCAAAUUGUUGGUCGUGCCUCGGUACGUACUGGCAUUAUUGAUUUCUCCCUUCUGAAGAACCACGAUGUCAUUAAUUUGGUGUCGUGGGGAAUCAGGACUGUUACUUUGAAAAAAUUAGAGUGUUUAAAGCAGGCUCACGCUUGAAUACAUUAGCAUGGAAUAAUGAAAUAGGACGUUUGAUUCUAUUUUGUUGGUUUCUAGGAUCGACGUAAUGAUUAAUAGGGAUAGUUGGGGGCAUUAGUAUUCAAUUGUCAGAGGUGAAAUUCUUGGAUUUAUUGAAGACUAACUACUGCGAAAGCAUUUGCCAAGGAUGUUUUCAUUAAUCAAGAACGAAAGUUAGGGGAUCGAAGACGAUCAGAUACCGUCGUAGUCUUAACCAUAAACUAUGCCGACUAGGGAUCGGAUGAUGUUAAUU